GGCAUAUUUGGGUAUAGCCAGGCACUCAGGCCUGUUCUGGGGGAGCCCCAUGGUGGAGCACCUCCAUACCUCUCUGCUGUCAACCGAGCCCCCCCUGGAGCCUCCUGGCCCAUCUCUUCUUUGCCUUCCUUUGUGGGCCUCAUGCAUGCUGUCAGCGCUGGACAAGCAGCUGCUUGACUGGAAUAAAAAGGAUGUCUCCUCUGUUUUUCACCACAUAGAUGUUCUCUGAAAGUGAACAUUUCCUGCCUGUGCUCCAGAUUUGUUUUGGCAAGUGGACCCCCAUUCCAAGUAGAAAGUGAGAGAGCCUGUCUGGGGACUUGCUCCUAUGAGUCCUCCAUGCUUGGUCCUCUCUGACUCCCUCCCCCAAGCAGCAGAUUUUUAAUAGGAAAGAGAAAAGGAAUGAUGCGGACCCUCCAGAUUCUGUAACGUCUGAGCCACUAGGCCGCGGGAACACUCCUUUUCCUGUUUUGUCGUCAUUCUUUGUUGUUCUCCAUCACAAGGGUUGGCCUGUGAGGGUCUCCCUAGCGGGAGGGCACUGCCCAGCAUCCAGCUUCCAUUCUCAGCCCUGAGCACGUUGCCUGCCAUGAAGUGAACCUUAGCUAUGAGGAUAGGGCAGCUGGGAGCACCAGCAGGCGGGAGGGAACCGAGGGAUGCCCUGCUUUUGGUGUAGCUGCUCGAACAAGCCAUCAGUUAUCCCUCUUUAGAGAGCUCGCUCUUUGGGUGCUGGGACCCAAGGGCUUGGAGCAGAGACUAGAGGAGCUCAGUGUGCAGCAGGGACCAUGCUGGCAGCUGUUGGGACCUUGAUGACAACAUUUCGGCUGAUGAAGGUCGUUUGUCUAUCCCUGUGACUGAGAGGGGGAGACUGUGAAACACCGGAUAGGUCCUCCAUAAACACAGCUUUCUAGGGUUGGAUCCCUCCGUUUUGGCCAGAAAGCAGCCUGGGGUUUGUACUCUCUCCUGCCACACACUCAUGGUUCAGGAGUGGCGACAAGUGGAGAUAUACAUCCGGGGAGAUAAGGACUCCCUGAGAUCCAGACUGCAGCCGUGACCUUCCUGGACCCCCUAUAAACCUCUUGAAGGUGAUUUUCUUUAAAUAUGUCAUUAUGCACAUCUGUAAAUUGUUUCCCACACAUUUGGGAUUUAUCUAGAUUGUAACAUGAUGGCUUUGCGUGUAGUAUACACUCGUGUGAGCACACUCACAGUUAGCUAUAUAGGAAUAAUCAAAGGGGAGGCUUCCAUGCCCACAAAGAUCUCCCAAAGACAGUGCAAUAAACUGGGUGACUGAGAAGGGAGGUGACUUUGCACCCAGACGAUGAACCAGAGGGACUCUUGGAUACAGCUGGGUGGGGGCAUCCAGACAAGGGCAGUGAGGACAUCGAGCAGCUGAGAACACACAGAAAGGGGAUCCACGGUCUCCACGGUAAGGCUGAACUGGAUAAUGGGAAGUGGAUUAGACAGCGUCUCCUGGGGGAAAAUUACAGAUUUCCCUCUUGCUUUCAUGGAAGAGUUUGGAAGGGCAGGCAGGCAUCAAGGCAUUAAGCACUCGGCUGGCUGGAAGGACACGGGAGCCGGGUUCCUCUGCCUCGAGGUUGAGGUGGGGGCUGCUGGGAAGUGUGUGGAGGCUCAGGAUGCCUCCCGGUCAGCUUGGUGCAUCCCUGGGUUGCGCUCCCUUGCGCUCCCCAUCUUGCCAGGGUGCCAGCAGUGCAGAUCUUGGCCUCUUGAUCUGAAACCAAACACGCCCCCUCCUCUGUUCCAUUGGAUGCGCUCCUUUGCAGGGAGGGGAACAAGAUGAAGGCAGGGGAAACUGGGAACCCCCCGGAUGUGGCUUUCUGGCGCUGAAUUCUAAUACCCUUUGCCCACAUGAAUGCUCGCAGUAGGAGUACUGGGAGCCCGCACUUGCACCUCUGUGGAAUUCUCUCUUUCUUUUUUAAAAAUAAGAAAUAUCAAAGAUGAUUUCAGCAAUGGAGAUGAAAAGGCAGAGCAGCUCUCGUCUGCUUCCUCCCUGCGUUCCCGCCACCCCCACCCCCUGAUUCGUUACUGUUUUUCUAGAACAAGAAGGAAAGAGUUUUAUUUGUAGAAGACUUUUCUUUUUCUUUUUUGUCCUUAAUGAUGUGGUGGGUGGCAGUGGUAGCAUGUUUUUAUUUUAUGUUAUUUUUUAUCCCUUGCGGCUUUGGGGGAGGGUGGCAGUGUUUGAGUUUGGGGUGCGGUGUGUGGGGGACGGUGUUCUCUUGGAGAGGAGCAGUGUGAGCAGAUGUUACACCCCCGUGUCUAGAAGGCGGGGGGACUUGGAGGACGGCGCUGCUCGUGGGUGGGGAAGGACCCGAGUUAUGUAAGAGCACUGAGGGGGUGGCUUGGGGACGCCGACAGGGGCAGGCUGACACCCUUCCCCGGGCCAUCGAGGAAGGCGCCGGGUGCUGUCUGCUGGGAGCCUGGUGGCUGCGCUGUGGUGGGUACGGUGCCUGCGGGGGGUUCUCAGGGUGUCAGGGCAGCGGGCAGUGGGGAGGCCUGGAGGGUGGAGGAGCUCCAGUGGGAGGAGCGAACUCCUUGAAGCUUGGGGAGGCCCUGUGCCCUCUUGGCUGUUCGCUCCUUUCUCCACGUCAGCUCCCCAGCCACAGAGGAGAGACCCCCUCCUUUCCCGCGGGUCCUCGAGGCCUCCUGCCCCCACACCAGUCAGCACCAUGUGACUGCAGAGCAGCACGCAUCCUGAACCGUAUAGCAUCCCAGGGGCUGACGCCGACGCUGUCUCCUCGUUUAGGUAGGGCCCCACCUGACCCACAAGGAGAGACAAAAACCUGAGCAGGCGUUGCUGAAAUGGCGAGUGGCUGGGGCUGGGUCCAGGCACCACUGCCAGCCAGCCACCAGCUAACACAGCUUCCUCAAACCUGCUCGUGGGGCAGCUGUGGGGAUGACAGCCAGCCCCUGUGGACUCGACCCUAACCUUCGCAGGCGUGGAAGGAGCCGAGGGCAGGGGUAGAGAGGGUGUUCGAGUCCCUCUGUUCCUUGGUGUCUUCAGCAGACUUCUUGGUGCUCCCCCUGUCCAUGCACCCUUCUAGGGGCACUGGCUGUGUCUUUGCUGGUCAUCCACUCACUCUACAUUUUCCCUGGGCAGGAGCCAGGAAUCACUCUAGGCUGUGGAACUCCAGCUCCAUCUACACUAAUGAGCUGAUGGGCUUGGCACCUAAGACCACGAGGCUGGCUCCAUUGGCAGCUUAUUCUUCACAGCUCGUCUCAUCUUCCUUCAUUGGCUUGGAGCUGUUUGUAAGUGAGAUGGUGAUGUGAAGAAGUUCUGUGCUGCCCUCGCCCGAGAGGGAGGCUGCCAGCCGGUGGCCUGUCCAGGUAGAGAUGAGCUGUGGACAUGAAAUGCAGGCAGGAUUUCAAAAUGCAGCGCUCUGACAAAGCAUGCUGAUGGAAGACCCCCUCCCACAUGGAUGAGCUGGGAUCCCUCCCUGGUCUCUCGGAGCCUUGGUAUCCUUACCUGUGACGAGGGAGAUUCCCCUAGAAGGUGCGCCGAGACUGAGAUUCCAGGAGUCGAUGACCUUUUCUUCACCCUUGUUGACAGCACCAGGGAGCCCCUCGGCGAGGCUGGAAAGGGCGCCUCCGGAAGUCAGCAGCGCUGCCUUUGAGAGAGGUCCCAGAGCUCUCUCACUCCAAGUUUGCCCCAGCUACAUACCACUGGGGUUUUCGGGGGACACCCUUCAGCUCUGUAAAUAUGCAUUAAAAGAGUAAAAAUAAAUGCCUUAUUUUGUCAACCUUCACAACAACUGUGAGACAUGCUUACACAACACCUCUCACACCGAGGUUCCAGAGCCUCACACGGUGAACAGUGCACUGGGAAAAAAAGAAAGAAACCACACUCUUAGAGAGUUCAAAGGCAGCAGAGAACUUGUUUUCAUUUCUGGAAAAAAGAAAUGCUAACGUGAAGGCCGGGCAACCGGUGCCCAGGGACCCUGGAAGAGAACCCGUGGGCAUGGAGGUGCCCUGAAGCUGGGGCCACAGGAGUGUCAGGUAACCCUGACAUGGGAGCAAAAGAACCAAGAGGAACUUUUGGAAAAGAAGGAAGAAGGUUAGUGAUGAGGACCAGAAGGGCUAGGACAGCCCGGAGUUUUACUGCAGAAGCUAGCUGAGCGAGGUCGUCUCUGGAAGCGGGUGUGGAUGCUGAAGAACUGACCCCUGGGCCUGGGACAAGGGGAUGGAUGUUCUGCAGAUUGGCGUGCAGAACAUGGGAGAAUCCAUGUUCCCUCCGCCCAUCUGGCCUUGGUCACCCAGGCCUCCAAGAAUAGAGAUGCUGCCAGAGGGCCACUCAGACCUGGCGCCUCGGGUGUGGGGCACAUAGUGCAGGAGGCGCAUCAGAUGUCCCUCUUAUGUUUAUUUUCCAUUUUUGACAUUGUCCUUCAGUUCCUCCUCCACGCUCCCCGUUAAGCUGUUAAAUCACUCCAUUUAUUUAGUGCGAGUGUUUCUGAGAGCUCAUUUUUAUCUUGGUGAAAACCAGGCUUGCUCAUGGGCACAUAAUGAAAUUGCAUAAAUAUAUCCUUAGCUUGGAAUCUAAUUUAUUUUUCCUGUUCAUUAUGGGGUAGAAGGCCAUUAUGAAAUGUAUAACUUUUUUUUUUCCAGUGCUGGAAUUGAAAGGCUGGGGCUUGGGCUCUUUUUAUUCUGAUGAUUUUGUCCUGAUUCAAUUUAAAGCUGGUUAGAGCUCAAAUACUGGAGCGUAAUUGACAAAGAUCAGUGUGGGUUGUAAUGCUAAUGUCGCGUCUGCGGCUUCCGCAACUCGACACGAUGGACAGUGGGUUAAGCAGCAAUUCCAGCAGGGGAUUCCUGGGCCUGCAGAGCUGUCUGGGCCUCAAGGAGAGGGCCGAGGACUUUUCCCGUAGCCAGUGGUCACAUUCUCUGCUUUGGGUAAGGGUGGGUGAGUGGCAUACCCUGGAGUAGGCAGGUUGAGGACACUCCUGACCUUAAGCCCAGAAAGCCUUAGAAAUCCCUUCAAGAACAUCCGCCCAACCUCCGCUUGUACAGGUGAGGAGUUUGAGUGGCCUAUAACCUGGUCAAGGUCACCCUGGCUCCAGCCUCCCCAUCCUCAGUCCUGGGUUUCCUCACCAUGACAGCAAGUGAAUAACAUAAAAUGAAAUGCAAACAACCUUUGGAAGCGAUGACUUAGGCCACUCUGUAUGAAGUUCAUGCAUUGUGUGUUGAGCGCUGGGAGAGAGGGGGACAGAAGGCGCACCUGGCAGCUUGAACAGGCUCUGAUGCCCACCAUGGCUAAGAAUUUGUCAAAGGCGUGACCUGGCAAAGCAACGGGCAGGAAGCUGGGGUACCAUCCUUCCUCCAGAGCACGCCUGAUCCUCCGUUAACUGGUCUCCCCCAGUUUGCUGACUGUUUCCCAUGUGCCUGGCCCUGCUGGGCUUGGGCACAGAAUGGGAAAGGCCCAGACGCUGCUCUAGGAGCUUUGAUGUGACAUCCUGACUGUCAAAUAGGAACCGUGCAGAACAUCAGUGUGAGCCAGUCAGAGAAUGUUCUUUUGGAGGGUGACGAGUGAUGAUCAAAACAUGUGAGUGUGUGUGCGUGUGUGUGUGCGUGCUUGUGAUCACUGGGAGGAAAAAAAAAAAACAUCGUCAUGGCUGUGACAGGUUUUCAGGGGGAGCUGGAAGAAAAGAAUUUCAAUUAGAGUUGCAGAGAUCUUUCGUUUCCCUCCCCCUGUAACUAGAGUUGCCAGAUAAAACCCGGGAUGCCCAGUUAAAUUUGAAUUUCAGAUGAACAACAAAGAAUUUUUUUGUAUAAGUAUGUGCCAAAUAUUGCAUGGGACACACCUAUAUUUUUGUAAAUGUUGUUUAUCUGAAAUUCACAAAUGUAUCCAAGGAUCCUGUGUUUUUAUUUGCUAAAUCUGGCAACCCCACCCUUAAGAGCAGAGGAAGUAGAAACAAAAAAAAAGCUUCAUUUUGAAAUCAUUUCCUUAGUCACUUAAAAAAUGCAGUCGCAUGAGUUAUAAAGUCAUUAUUUAUUUAUUGUAUUAGGUCUUCUAAGACAGAAGUGUCUAAAGUGAAGCGAUUAGUCUCGCUUACUGCUCCCCAGAUCCAGCUCUCUGGGUGACUUCUGACCUCUGCUACUAGCUGGAAGUGUCCCCUCCUAAAAUACCCCCUCUGCUCAUGCUGACCAACUCAUGUGCAUAUAUACACAUAUGUCAUUUUCAUGUGCUAUGUAUUUUCCUGGCAGUUUCUGCUUUUUUGGAGAAAAUCCCAGAAGAAGAAUUAUUGGGGCCAAGGGCAUGUAUAUCUUAAGUUUUAAUAACUACAGCUAGAUUGCUUUACAAAUUUGAAAGUAUUUACAGAAUUUCCCAUACCAUGUGAGAAUACUUUAUCCUGCACCGAUAUUAGUAUCAGUUAUUAUUAUUUCUUAAAAUAUUUGCCAAUCUAAGGGUACAAAAUAGCAUUUAAACUUACAUUUCCUCAACUCUAGGAAGGUUGAUUAUAUUUUUUGUUUAUUAUUUAUUUGCAUUUGACUUCUGUGAACUAUCUGUUCAUGUGCUUUAUCUAUGUGUCCAGGGAGAAUUUUCUUUUUAAUUUGUUCUGGGGUACUCUACAUACUGGCCACUCUCAGACUUUGACUAUUAUAUGCUGUCUUGGAGUUGCUUCUGGACCUAUGUUAAGCCAUCACCUGAUCUUGAAGCCUUAGAUCUGAGCUUCUCAGGGCAGUGACCUGGGUCUAAUGACAAUUGUAGACUUCCAAGCCCAUCCGGGUGCCUAAGGUCUGCUGAUCUUGUUUGUCUGAAAUUCCUGGGUUAAAGGAACCAUGUGUGCCUUGAGAGCCUCUGUUAGUGCUUCACUGCCCUGGUGCUGCCCCCCCAAACAGUGGGCAGCCCUGGAUAGCUUUCAAAUCCCCACCUCCCUUUAUUGUCCUGCUUUCUCUGCACACACAGAAAGCUCUGCUCCAGAAGAGGGAACUGGGCCUUGGGAGGAGGCAACACUGAGGGUGUCCUGCUCUGACCAUGGAAUCUCCCCAAGAGCCACAUUGACCGUGUGACUGCAGCGAGCUGCCUCAGGGGCAGUAGGGUAGAGCAGGAGAGAUGAGAAGCCUCCAGUUUCCCCAGUUCACUGCAGCCAUUAACUCAUUCAUUCAUUCAACAAGACUUUGUCAAGCUCCAGGCACAUACACAGACCCUACCUGCGAUCAGGGAGCUAUCAGCCUCUGGGAGAGAGGUCUUUAUAUGGUGGCAUAGAUUUUGCUGACAGACUGGCUGGGGCCAGCUCUUCUUCCAUCUGUCUCUCACAGAGGGGGCUUGUGUUUGCAGAAUAGGUGAAUCACAGCUCCAGAGCCCAACCUAGGGUGAGGGGCUGUCACGGUGCCCACCCCACCUCCUCAGCCAGGGCCUCGAGUCCCUGCACCUUCCCUCUCUAGCACCCCCAGCUUCGUGCCUGCGGCACCCUGUUCGUGUUUGGGGAGGAGCAUCUCCCUGGGACGUUUGUGGCCAGUUCUGUAUCUUGUUUUAGGAAAAGAUGGUGG
ensembl:lncRNA